rnacentral:misc_RNA from 1 species
AUAAAAAUCUUACCCAACUGCAUACCAGAAAAGUUACUGUUCCAAUAGAACAGACUGAUGGAAAAACUUCAAAGUGCAAUAGGUCUGAAAAAGUAAACACAACAAUGCUCUAAUGUGUUUGUAAAUCACACUGGCAAAAUGUGUGUGUGAUAAAUGUGUCGUAAUAUGUAAAUCUUACCUUGCAAAAGGUAAAUCACACUGGCAAAAUGAUUUCAUACACUAAGCAAUUUUCCGAAGGAACAUAAAGACACUUCAAU